rnacentral:rRNA from 1 species
AGUGAACGCUGGCGGUAUGCCUAACACAUGCAAGUCGAACGGCAGCACAGUAAGAGCUUGCUCUUACGGGUGGCGAGUGGCGGACGGGUGAGGAAUACAUCGGAAUCUACUUUUUCGUGGGGGAUAACGUAGGGAAACUUACGCUAAUACCGCAUACGACCUACGGGUGAAAGCAGGGGAUCUUCGGACCUUGCGCGAUUGAAUGAGCCGAUGUCGGAUUAGCUAGUUGGCGGGGUAAAGGCCCACCAAGGCGACGAUCCGUAGCUGGUGUGAGAGGCUGGUCGGCCACAUUGGAACUGAGACACGGUCCAGGCUACUACGGGAGGCAGCAGAGGGGAAUGUUGGACAAUGGGCGCAAGCCUGAUCCAGCCAUAGCGCGUGGGUGAAGAAGGCCUUCGGGUUGUAAAGACCUUUUGUUGGGAAAGAAAAGCAGCAGGUUAAUACCACGCUGUUCUGACGGUACCCAAAGAAUAAGCACCGGCUAACUUCGUG